AUUCAUUAUGAGAUAUAUUCAACGUGUGAAUUACAAUAACAUUUCCCAUAAUACUUGACAUAUGCCCUACAAAUCUGUUACUUGAAAGAUCAAUAUUGAUGCAAGCCGUCAAAAUUAUGACAAAAUUCAAGCUCAAGACCCUUGGUUGCAACUGUUGUCCAAACUUGGUAAUUUCCUUCUCCGAGAUAUUUUAGUAAUUUCCUUGCCUAAUCAACUGACCUCAUAGCUUUCAAAUGUUGGAACAAACUCGUUGGUAAGUUUCCCAAAAAGAUAUUGUAAGAUAGAUCUACAAUUCGAAGUUGGGGAAACAUAUUUUCAAUUCUUGAAGUUUUUAAUGGAUCUACACAAUUUAUUUGAUCUCAAACCUAAACCUUGCAGCUCUGGCUGAGUUCCCAAUCACACGAGGAAUGUGCCGUUAAAGUGUUGUCUCCUAAAUCAAGAACUUGCAACUCUUCAAAGUUGGCCUUCGUUUUGAGGAUUGACAUUUGAAAUUUCAGACAGAUACCAAAAAUAGAAGUGUUGAAAUAAUUCUAUGUCCCACAUUUGCAUCACUCCAACCCCUCUGCAACAACAAAAAGAAAUCCCUAGCUAAGCUUUUGAUAUGGUCAAAGUGUUCAGCUACUUCCAAGUUGUUUGCUCCUUAAAGUAUUCUAAAUAUCAUCACGAAAGAAACGAGGCUCAAAACCUUGAUGAUUUCCACUUCAGACAGCUUUUGAGUUUUACUUCUGCGUGUGGGUGAUUUUCAGGUUUCCUAAUGCACCUGAAAUGAAUCUCAAAUCAGACUGCUCUUAUAGCUGGUGGGAUACGUAUGUCUCUUAAAAGCCAAACUCCAGUUCUGCUCGCUUCAGCACAGUUGUCACCCUAACAAAAAAAUCUGGUUCUUCUUCCUUUAUAUCUUCCAGUGACCUUGACUCGUGUUCGUCAGCCUCCUUGAAUCUUAGCAGGAUUAGAUUUGAAACUGAGGCAGGCUUUGUUUUAUCCCACCUCACAAGCAUCAACUCAUUCACUGAACGCCACAUUGCUCGCCCUACAUCUUUAAUGGAUAGGUCCCUUGCACUUCUCCCAUGCCACAACUCUUUGGCAAUGUACACAACUUCUUCAACAUCUACCUCCACUUGCAUGGAUGUACCAUAUAGCAACUCUUCAUGCUCAAUAAGGCGUUGAUGGAGGAUUUCGUAGUGAUCCGUAUCAAAAUUCACCACUGGUUCCAUAUGGACUUGCAAUCCAGCUAACUGAGUUGCAACAUAGGAAGCCAUGACUUGCCCAAAAAUUGCAGGUAUAGUCCCCAGAACUGGAAUGAUCCGGACCCUAAAUCCAGGCACUAUUUGAUAAUCUGAAGGAUUUUCUUCUUCUCCGCUUGGCCCUUUAAAGGGAAGCAACUUUGCCUUUGGUUUCUCAAGAGAAAAUACCACAGGAAUGCCACCAUCAAUACCAUGAUCUUUUCUCAGACGAUGUCUUACAGCUCGAGAUAGAGGGUCAUUGGUAGACUCUCUUAAGUCAGCCACGCGAAUUCUUGUUGGAUCAGCCCUUGCGCCAGCUCCAGUUGCAGAUAAAACUUUCAAACCUCUUCGAACACAUGCAGCGAGAAGUGCCACCUUUGUGUCGAUAUUAUCAAUGCAAUCAAGGACAAAAUCAGGGUGGCCAGACAGAAUUUCUUCUUCAGACGAUGAAUCAUAUAAGAAAACUUUAGCAUCUAUGUGGCACUCUGGAAAAAUUGAUUGGAAGUGCUUCUUGAGGCACAAGGCUUUUGAGGUACCAACAUCUUCUCUUGUGGCAACAGCAUGUCUAUUUAAUGAGGAGACCGACACCUUCAACAUAAUUAGCAGAUAUCAGAUAUUCACAAAUAUAGAGGUAACAUUUCUUUUAGGGAACUUAUAUCGCUAAAGCAAAUCAUGCCUCAUAAUGGCCCUUCAACUGCAUGGAGGAGAUAACAUUCAUUCUUUUCCACAAAGACUUCUUUUUUCAUUCCCUUUUUAUUUUCUCGAUAGAGUAAAGGAUUUCAUUGCUAAACAUCCCAUUGAUGCGAGCAAAAUACAAAAUAGCUAGUUCCCUGGGCCCAAAGACUUUGAUUUUUUUACCACUAGCAUUACAACAUAGUCUCCACAGAAUAGCCUAAUCACAUUACCAUAAGAUGACACAAUCUACAACUUAGUUCAAUUUUAAGUACCUAAAAUUGAAGGUUUAAAUGAACAGUAAUGCGACUUUCUAUACCCCCUUUAAUAUCAGGCAAUGCCAG
rnacentral:misc_RNA from 1 species